UAUUUGCAUAUGAAUUCAGAAAUCUAAUUUGGUUCUUUUAAUUUAAAUAAAGGAUCCAGAAACUCCCUUGGUAAGUUUAGCUGCAUGUUAUUAGUUUUUCAUUAUCAAGCGCUGUGUCAAGUUGUUUUUAUUUGACAAGGAAAGCUGAACAAACAUUUCAUAAUAAAGUGUGGCUGAAAGAUGUGUGGUAGGAUAGUUGGUGUAUACUUCUCAAAAUUCUUGAAAUUCCGAUUUCUGAAAUUCUCGCCGAAUUGCUGAGGUGGUAUCAGCCCUGUCCUACCCAACUCGUCCCUAAUGCUUGGUGGAUGAUAGUUGGGUUAUUUUGCUUUCUUAUGCUUCGGGAAAUAUCUCUCUGUGCGAGGAUAUUCCAAUCAUUUUUCCAAGUGAAGAUGCAUCCUCGGAGCAAAAGUUGGUGGUACGCUUCCCUAGGAAAGGUAUUACCAACUUUCCUUCUGGCUCUUCUUUUAUUCAUGAGUGGAAGAGUCCAUUCUUCUUGAUGUCCUCUUCGACCCCAUGGAGGUUUCCAAUCGAGUGGGGGUCAUUAGAGAAAUCUGCAUUACUAGAUCUUCUGAAGCUGUUUGAGGUGGAAGGGUUAAUGGUCGAGGAGUUGAAGCAGCUUAAAGUUCCACCAUACUUUGAUCUUCGGCAUGAGGAUCUCCUUAGGAAACUAUACUUUAGAGGUCCAAUUUUAAGAGGUCCGGAGGAGUUGAAGGGGCCGACCAGCACUGAUCCUCCCAGGGAGAAGGAGAACAAGGGGAGGGUUGUCCUAUCACCUUCUCCCGAGGCUGUUGCAGUCGAGGCUGCGAAGUAGAGAAAUGGUCGAAGAAGAAGCACGCUGCUCCUUCUAAGGCUGUAGAGGUCAUCACGGUAGACAUUGUUCCUACGUGGAGUGAUCCUCUCAAGGCUACGGGAGUGUUUGUAGGAGUGAACACUCUUGCUAUUCCAGAUGCUCUCCAACCUCUUGCUGGCAGUUCAAUGCCAGCUGUCGAGGCUUACAUAAAGCUGUUGGAAGAGUUGGUGCUUUCGGCUGAUAGAGAGAAGCUGUUGGUGUGAUCCUUCGAGGACUAUCUUUGAGGCUUCUUUUGCACUGCCGCCAAGGGAGCUUUCGAGAUGUGGAGCCUACUUCAGCGGGCUUGACGCUUAGAGGAAGAAGUUCGCCAGUCUUGCCACCUUCUCCAGGUGGCUAAGGAGGAGCGAGAUGAAGCUAUAAGAGAGUUGCAUAUCAUUAUAUCGUAGUUGGGAGAGCAACUCCCUGCUGAGAAGUCCCAGGCUGAUGCUGUAGAGAUUGCUUUGGAAGAAGCCAAGAACUCUUAAAAUAAGGGUCACUCAACUCUGGAAGAGCGAAACCGAGGCUGCAUGUCUACGAGACUGGCUGGCUGAGAUCGAAAGGAGUGAACGCCAGGCUAGAGAAGAGGUGGCUUAAGCAAGGGUGCCCAUUCUUAGCUAGCGGAGAAAGUUGCUCCUAUCAAGCAUCGCCUCAUGGAACCUAUUGCUAAGGGCAUGGAGGCCUUCAAACAGGGUGACCACUUCCAUCAAGAGUUGCUGAGGUUGUGUCGGGAAGCCUUCUUUAUAGGCUUCGAUGAAUGCAAGAAGUUGGGAAUGUGUUUCUCGGGGAUCGACCUUAGCUGUAUACCCGUCUUGACCUCAUCCUCCUCAAGCAGUGGUUCGGCUGAUGCGGAAGGGGACAAAGAUGUGGUGACACUAAGUCGCACCCUUGAUAAGUUUCUUUUCCUUCUUUGUAACUUAGUGGUAGAAUCUCAAUCUUUGUGACUUAAGAGUAGCCAUUGGAAUGAAUGAAUCCUUUUGAGUCUUCAAUUUUCCCUCUUUUCUUCUUUUUCUACUGAUCUAUCUUGCGUGCAUCUUCAUGCCUUGUUUUCUUGAUUAAACAAGGAUGAGAGUCAAUAGAUAGGAACUUCUGGCUAACCUGCCAAAGAAGAAGAGGAAGACUAGCCAUGCAGAGAUCACUCUUGGAGUUGGGCCGAGUCGAGGAAAGGAAGAAUUGGGUUCUACUACUGAGGUUCCUGGCAAGAUCUCUCCAAACGGGCCUUCUUCAAGCAUGGUUGGGGAUAUGUCUCAAGUUGGAGUAGGGGUCGGUGACCAACCCAUCGGAACUAUCACGAUGAGCCUAUCAAAGACCAAAGGAGACCUUUUCGAUGUAGGGCCACUUCUGGAUGCGUCAGAGGCUCCAUCUGUCGGUGCAGGGAUUGAACCGAGGCAGUAGGACAACUUGCCAAGCCAAGGCCGGAUGUAUCUGACCCUAUGGCGAUCCCCUUAGAUGCGGUGGGAACCGCGAGCCAAGGUGUUGCAAUCGAGGCUCCGUCCGGUGCCAUCACCGAGGGCUUGGAUAUGGCGGCCAGGGCACCUCAAGCAUCUUAUGCAGAGGCUAGAGGCCAACUUGCAAGGAUGACUCUAAACGAUGCAGGUGUAGCAGCUCUCGUCGAAGUUAAGGAAGAGGAGGUUGAGGAAGAACUAGCUGAGACUGUGGGAAAGGUUGCAGGCUCUCCUUUGCAUGCGGUCGGGGUGUUGUCUUCCCAUCCACUAAUCGUGCUUUUCUUGCCCGCCCCUCUUGAGUGAGCUCCUUGUCCCUUCACUCCCAGAUGGACGAUCCUGGAGGAUGGGACUACCAUCUUUGAUCAUAUAUGGGCAUGGGAGAUGAUCAAGGGAUGAUACCUCCAAGGGAUGAAGAGUAUCCCUUGGGCAUGACUAUUGAGGAGGGACUCUCUAGUUCGUAUCAUUAAAACUAUAAGAGGCAACAAAUAGAUUGUGGAGGUCUAAAAUUCAAUCAAGGAGCGUCACUAUUAUAUCCAUGGUUUUGAGAAUCGGAUCGAACCACCAGGUUCAAGGCAUACCGAGCUGAAUCGGUGUGGAAUUGGGUCAGUUCGGCCCUAGUUUUCGGCACUCGACAAGAAAAGAAAUUAAAAAAAUAAAAAAAAAACUGCUUGGUUCAGCCUGAAAUCGGACGGUACGAGCUUUAUCGAGCUAAACUGUCUGGUUUGACAUCAUUUUUAUCUUCUGAUAUAGAGAAGUCUUUCGACUUCUAUGUUUCUCAAUCUCUCUCUCUCCCUUUCUCACUUCCUAACACUGAGAGUGGUAGGAAGACUCCAAGAAUACAUGGAUUAAAGUCCUUUCAAGUAUA